rnacentral:lncRNA from 1 species
GGUGGAGUAAGGCGCAGCAAGAUGGCGACCGAGACGGUGGAGCUCCACAAGCUGAAGAGCACUUCUUAAACUUUUGGAGGUCACAGAUAUCUUUGAAACUCUGAUGAAAGCUUGCUGAACUAAAGCAAGAAUGCCUUGCUCGUGGUUUAGAGACCAAGGGAAUAAAACAAGAUCUUAUCAAUAGGCUCCAGGCAUAUCUUGAAGAACAUGCUGAAGAAGAAGCAAAUGAAGAAGAUGUACUGGGAGAUGAAACUGAGGAAGAAGAACCAAAGCCUAUAGAACUGCCUGUUAAAGAGGAAGAACCUCCUGAAAAAGUUGUUGAUAUGGCAUCAGAAAAGAAGGUGGUAAAAAUUACAUCUGGAAUACCUCAAACUGAGAGAAUGCAGAAGAGGGCUGAACGUUUCAAUGUGCCUGUAAGCUUGGAGAGUAAGAAGGCUGCUCGGGCAGCGAGGUUUGGAAUUUCUUCAGUUCCAACAAAAGGUUUAUCAUCUGACACCAAGCCAAUGGUUAACCUGGAUAAACUAAAGGAAAGAGCACAGAGAUUUGGUUUGAAUGUCUCUUCCAUCUCUAGAAAGUCUGAGGAUGAUGAGAAGCUGAAGAAACGGAAGGAGAGAUUUGGAAUUGUGACAAGUUCAGCUGGAACUGGAACCACAGAGGAUACAGAGGCAAAGAAAAGAAAAAGAGCAGAGCGUUUUGGGAUUGCAUAAUGAAAAGUUCAAGUGCUGGAUUGUGUCAUGUGACUGUCCCAAAACUCAGAGCACCCUUUGGCCAUCUUUGCCCUCUGUCACAUAACUUGAAAACUGCCUGAUGGCCUUUUUGCAAUGGUUCCUUCCUGGAAACCUUGAUCUUGUUGAAGAAGUCCUUUCCUGGUAUUCCAGUGCCCCUGUCAGCCCAUACUCCUCAGACACCCUUAACAAAGGCAAUCACACACAUGAUGUAACAAAUACACAAAAUAAAGAGUUACACUAAUAAUA